CAGUCGCCGCGGUAAUACGAGGGGGGCAAGCGUUGUUCGGAAUUAUUGGGCGUAAAGGGUGCGUAGGCGGUUUGAUAAGUCAUCUGUGAAAUCUCUGGGCUCAACCCAGAGUCUGCAGGCGAAACUGUCGGGCUUGAGUAUGGGAGAGGUGAGUGGAAUUUCCGGUGUAGCGGUGAAAUGCGUAGAUAUAUGGAGGAACACCGGUGGCGAAAGCGGCUCUCUGGUCUGUCACUGACGCUGAGGCUCGAAAGCGUGGGUAGCGAACAGGAUUAGAUACCCGUGUAGUCCCUGUCUCUUAUAA
rnacentral:rRNA from 1 species